rnacentral:rRNA from 1 species
GAUGAACGCUGGCGGCGUGCCUAAUACAUGCAAGUCGAGCGGACAGACGAGGCGCUUGCUCCUCUGACGUUAGCGGCGGACGGGUGAGUAACACGUGGAUAACCUACCUAUAAGACUGGGAUAACUUCGGGAAACCGGAGAUAAUACCUGAUCAUAUAUUGAACCUCAUGGUUCACUAGUGAAAGACGGUUUUGCUGUCACUUAUACAUAUAUCCGCGCCGCAUUAGCUAGUUGGUAAGGUAACGGCUUACCAAGGCAACGAUGCGUAGCCGACCUGAGAGGGUGAUCGGCCACACUGGAACUGAGACACGGUCCAGACUCCUACGGGAGGCAGCAGUAGGGAAUCUUCCGCAAUGGGCGAAAGCCUGACGGAGCAACGCCGCGUGAGUGAUGAAGGUCUUCGGAUCGUAAAACUCUGUUAUUAGGGAAGAACAAAUGUGUAAGUAACUAUGCACGUCUUGACGGUACCUAAUCAGAAAGCCACGGCUAACUACGUG